CCUGGAAUUCGAAAUAGCAGCAAGCCAGCAGCCCCUAUGGUCCCUCUUUAUAGCAGCACAACCUGUCACAAAAUCUGAGUUAAAACAUGCUGCAUCCACAUUUAUCUUCGUCCAUCCUUCAUUGGUGGAGCUUUCGGUGGAGCAGCCCAUAGUAUUGUAGCCGGGUUGUCCGCAGUGACAACUUGUCUUGAGCGGAAGCAUAGCUGAUGAUUUAGUGUCCGGACUCCAAAUUCCUGCAAUAAAAUGUAUAAGAUAUAUAUUGAGGGGCCGAGCAUGGUCAGUGAGUGAAACGUAUAUUCCUGCCUGUGAUUUAGUUACUCUAAUUGUGAAGCCCCAAGCUCUAUUGUCAGCAAUCCAUCGGCAAUUGAGCUGGUGAUUAUGUUUCUGCAAAAUAAAGAAAUAAUAGCAUGUCAUCAUCAAUCAUUUGGAACCACCGCGAAGGCUAUUGCUAGAGAAUGUGUCAUUUGACUGAUAACGGAGUAGCAAUUUGGUGGUGAUGUUGGCUUAGAAAUUUGAACAAGAUAUUAAGCUUUCAUAUGAAUGCAAUUCGAACAAUGUAUUAAUUGCUUAUCAAUGUUGAAUAAUUAUGACUAUGUUGAUGGUCAAAUGCAUUUAGGCUGUUGAUGAACUCAUUGCUGAGGAGUUUUAAUUUCAAGACAAGUUGA